GAUGAAGAACGUAGUGAAAUGCGAUACGUAAUGUGAAUUGCAGAAUUCAGUGAAUCAUCGAGUCUUUGAACGCACAUUGCGCCCCCUGGUAUUCCGGGGGGCAUGCCUGUCCGAGCGUCAUUGCUGCCCUCAAGCACGGCUUGCGUGUUGGGCCUCCGUCCUCCUCCCGGGGGACGGGCCCGAAAGGCAGCGGCGGCACCGCGUCCGGUCCUCGAGCGUAUGGGGCUUCGUCACCCGCUCUUGUAGGCCCGGCCGGCGCUUGCCGACACAUCAAUCUUUUUUCCAGGUUGACCUCGGAUCAGGUAGGGAUACCCGCUGAACUUAAGCAUAUCAAUAAGCGGAGGA
rnacentral:misc_RNA from 1 species